rnacentral:tRNA from 1 species
GGUUGUGGCUCAGAGGUAGAGCGCUUGCCUAGCAAACAUGAGGCACUGGGUUUGAUCCUCGGCACCA